rnacentral:lncRNA from 1 species
UCGGAGAUCCAUCCACACUACGAUCAUUCUUAUUUUGAAAUUCUUAUUUUGAAUUAUGGCAUGUAUAGAGGACUUGGUUAUUUUUUUAUAUGUCAUAAUUGAUUUGGCCUAAAAUGUUGGCCUUUAAUAUUUGAUAACUCAUUUUGUAUAAGGCAAUCAAUGUUGGCUAAUAUUAGUUAAGUUAAAUGUUAUGAUGAUGCAUUUUGUGAGAGGCAUGAGUUGAUUGAGUGAGUGUGUAAUGACUAAGUAUGGAAAAUGUGGUAGGUGAAUGGUUGUGUGAAGGGCACGGCCUUGCGGGCAUAUGCCCCUAUUUUCAUGAAAUUUUCCAAUGUUCUCCA